UACGUAGGUGGCAAGCGUUAUCCGGAAUUACUGGGCGUAAAGCGCACGCAGGCGGUCUUUUAAGUUUGACGUGAAAGCUCUCGGCUUAACUGGGAGAGGUCGUUGAAUACUGGGAGACUUGAGGAAAUGAGAGGGGUGUAGAAUUCCCGGUGUAGUGGUGGAAUGCGUAGAUAUCGGGGGGAAUACCAGUGGCGAAAGCGGCACCCUAGCAUUUUUCUGACGCUCAUGUGCGAAAGCGUGGGGAGCAAACAGG
rnacentral:rRNA from 1 species